rnacentral:lncRNA from 1 species
CACUGGUUUAGCAGUGAGUCAAUCAAUCAGUAGAGAGCUUCAGUGCCCAGGAGCACCCUGAAGAGGAAGAACCUCUUAUCUUUCUAAUAUUUUGGUAAGGGUAAGGGCCAAUGAUUCUGAAGGAUCUUUUACAUUACUCCCUUACACAGCUGACCAUGUCUGAAGAUACUGAACCAAUAGGAGAUAAUGUAUUCAACCAGUGGCAGAGAUAUACCAAGGACUCACUGAAAACAAUCCAAACCAACAUGGAUGCAGAGAUCUAGACUUAAAAAAGUGAAAUAACUUCAAGCAUCAUGACCUUUUAUAUAAGGGAAGAGUGGCAGCCAUGGACUCAAGAAAGGACGUCCAGUUAUGAUGAAAGGGCUUGCUCAGUGAGUGACUGGAGCUGAAGGAAAAGACUUGCAUUGAUGGACUCCUGGCUGAAGACACCACAGAGACUUCCACAUGGAGCCUGGGACUUAAGGGAGCCCCUACCAAGGGCUGAGUCAGACUUCAUUGGAGCAGCACUUAGUCUCAAAUCUGGACCACUGGAUUGUCUGAAUAUAAUUUGGUUCAGAAUAUCCCCCCUUUUAAGGAAAGAAGGGUACUAUUGGACAUGGAAAUGGAGAAAGAGGGGGAGCCUUAAGAAGAGAAAGUGGAAAAAAAAUAUCCAUCUUUCUCAGACUUGGAAAAAGACCAUUGGAAUUCACCAUAUGAACAACUAUUAGGGGGAAGAAUGGUCAAAAUGGCAAGAAAUCUCAAUGUGGGAGGAUAAAUAAGACCUAACCUUUGGUGGUACUGUGAUCCAUAUGAACUCUUUAAGUAAUAAAGGAAAACAAUGCCCUCUAACUUUCUAUGAC